GACGAACGCUGGCGGCGUGCUUAACACAUGCAAGUCGAACGGAAAGGCCCGGCUUUUGUGGGGUGCUCGAUUGCCGAACGGGGGAGUAACACGUGAGUAACCUCCCCUUGACUUUGGGAUAACUCCAGGAAACUGGGGCUAUUACCGGAUAGGAGCUCUUGCUCCAUGGUGGGGGUUGGAAAGUUUCGGCGGUGGGGGCUGGACUCGCGGCUUACCAGCUUGUUGGUGAGGUAGUGGCUUACCAAGGCUUUGACGGGUAGCCGGCCUGAGAGGGUGACCGGGCACAUUGGGACUGAGGGACGGCCCAGACUCCUACGGGAGGCAGCAGUGGGGAAUAUUGCACAAUGGGCGGAAGCCUGAUGCAGCAACGCCGCGUGCGGGAUGACGGCCUUCGGGUUGCAAACCGCUUUCGCCUGUGACGAAGCGUGAGUGACGGUAAUGGGUAAAGAAGCACCGGCUAACUACGUG
rnacentral:rRNA from 1 species